CCUACCUCAAAGGACUCCUUCAGAGACACUCGUUUGCUUUCUUCCAAAAUUCGGGCAUUCUUUUGUUCCAUUAUAUUUUCUGCUGCAGCUCUGAGCCAUGUACUGAGAUACCCAAAUCAACUUCAGCAUCUGAUAAACUCAAGCUCUCCUGAAAUACUACCUAAGUGAAAAAUCUGAGUACAAAAAGUAACCUCCCACUUGCUAAUGUCUACACAGACAAAAAUAAAGAUUUCAAUGUAAAGUUUACUAUUUUAUUUGUGAAAAAACUACAAGCAGAAUUCAUAAAUAGACAUUUCUAUUUAAAGCAGGAAAACGAUAAAGUGGCUUCUAAUAACAUAGUCGUGCACAUGCCAGUAACAGGAAUAUAUUAACAUCUUUUAUUUGCUAGACAAAGAGCAGUGUCCAAUAUAAAUUUCCCCCAAACAUUUAAGACCUGUGAAUUUGACCAGUUCACAAAACCACUGACACUUUAGCAUGAAGAAAAAAACAAACCUAACAGACUGUCAGCUCUAAAGACAUUACAGAGCAGAAACUUCCAAAAGCGUUAUACAAGCUGUCUUUCUGAGCAAAUGAAAAAUAUAGCUCGUAUAAUACAUUAACAAAAAUUCACAAGAUAAGAUUAUGUUUUGACAUACUUAACAAGCAUUCUCUAUUUGUCUCCAACAAACAAAGCUAAGGAAAUAAUGUAACCAUCUUUACACAGUAAAUUAAGGUUACAAGUCAUACACAAGAACAGAACUGCUUGCGCAUUAAAAACUGUUCAGCUCCAUUGUCAUACUCUAAAUGUUGGCUCUUAAACCAUUUUCGGUUACAUACAAGCAAAGGUUAUUAUAUAUCAGCAAUUAAUAAAUUUUCAAUAAUUUAAGAUACGGUAGCUUAAAAAAGUAGACUGAGAAUGGUCUUGAUAAGGCAGGUGAAACAUCUUAGUGGAACUAAACUCACAGAAGCUUCUGCCAAUGUUUUAAACGUCCAGAUUAAAACUGAAAGAUUUUGAUUGAAAGUAUUUUGAGGGUAUCAGGAUGUCUUUACCUUUUUUUUGCUUUUUGAACUGCAUGACUCAAGCAGAGCAGGUUGGGUAAGCUCUGUGUGCGCGAGCUCACGCACGAGUAUGAAAGAUCGUGUGGCAUUAAAACAAAUGGAAACUUGCAAGCAUUAACACUGUGCUUUUGUUUUGCUUUUAUAACCUGCUUACUGUGCCGCUGAAUACCAAGUAUUUCUGGUCCUCUUUCAAUAUAUACCUUUUAUCAUCUACACUAGUGUUUUUACACGCUGCCUACUAAUUGUAGGGUAGCAAAAGCAGGAAGUUACAGGAAUUCCAUUUCCAGAAUACAUGCCUGAGGGAUGUCAUCCAUUUCGGAAAUUAAAAGUCUAAAGUACCUAUCAUCUCACUAUCAUAACACAAUACACAACAGCAGCUAAAGGACGGGCCCAAAAACAUCUGAUUGCUGAGAGCACUCCCACCACGCGCUGCAGUUUCUACCCAACUGGCAACGUCAUCAUCUCACAGGUUCUAAAGCAAUCCUCCCUUCCUUCACCCCUCCCUAUUCUUUAUCCUUAAAUUUAUCACGGAGGCAGAACUGAAAACCAAGACAUUGGCAAUGAAUUAGCAGCCUCUGAGUAGCUGGUUAAUCAGCUUUUUCCACUAGUCUAGGGGUCCAAUCACUUUACAUGAAACUAAUUUUGCAAAAGUACACAGUGUUUCUGAACAAAGUGCAUACCAACACUUACUGGUUCCAAAAGCAGUGCAACCCACAUGAGUUUGGUGACAUUUAAUUUUUUUUAAAAAGUUAAUUAAAAAACUUAGCAAUUCCUUACAUCUCUGGAAAAUAAAUAUGGCUGACUAAUUUACCCUCCCUGAGACCCUUAAUAAAAGGAAUAUUAAAACUUUAGAAGGAAUGUCUUUGCAAUACCCCACUAAUAUUAAAAUGUGGAUUUAAAAUUCAUAGUCAAAUCACUAUGUAUUAUAUAUUCUGAUGCUUAUAGAAAGCAUCUGAUUUCCUUUGGUUCAUUAAUAAAUACUUUAAAAAUGUAUUUAAAAAGGUAAGUAUAGCUUGCAUCCCAGAUACAAGCAGUAUUUUUUAAAAAGAGGGGAAACAUUGUCCAUGCAUUUGAGAAUAGGACCACAGCAACAAAUGGCACUGCUUUAUCAUCUAUACCUUUGAAAACAGAAUUUAAAUGAUGGUACAUCAGUGACUACAGAAUAGUUUUAAUGUAAACGUGAAAGGAGCCUUUCCUGUUGGCUACUCAAAUCAAGCUGUUAAUUUUUCUCUUUACUCGUUGCCUCCAUACACAGAAGUUACUUCUAUUCUUAAGCAAACCAGGUUUUUCACACCAAACCACUAAUCUGCUGCCCUCCCAGGUCGAAUAAAGGAAGGUGACAUCAAGUUCCCAUGCUUGAAAUGACUCUCAAGUCUACGAACUCUGCGAAUAUGGAUGUAAGAGUCAGACAGAAGAGAGAUCCUAAAUCCAAACAAAGCAAAGCAACAUUUUUUUUUUUAAUGAGGAGGGGUGGGUUCAUAUUAGUGGUCUUUUACACGUUUUUUUUUUUUUUUUUGCAAGGCAUCUAAAAAAAAAAAAAAGAGUGAAAAGAAUCUUUUUAUAAAAGAGUUUACUCAAGCUGUCUUUGUGUUGAGGAAGUAAAAGCUCACAGGAAGUAGGAGCUUUCCCUGCAACUCUAGCUGCCAGCCCCUCAACCAUUUCUUCACCUCUUGCGUUCCUUCCCACAGCAGGGAACCGAGACACAUCAUGGAACUGAAAAGCUUCAUGUCAGGACUGGGGACUGGAUGUGUUGGUUGAUAACCUCUGUUCAGUCAAACAACAAGACUAGACUUAAAGAAAGGAAAAGAAUUCUCACUGAAUGGUAAGGGAAACAAGGGGCUGUGAGGCAAAUAAAGUUCGAUUAAACAAAACACCAUGCGCAAAGUGGAAACAGGGAUUUGCUUCUUGUAUGGACCAAAAGUACAAGUUAGACAGUUUGAACCCUAAAACUGAGAGACAAUUUAUCGAUUUACCUCAGACAUGAGUAGAGGUCUGGAAUAUGGAUGGAAUUCGAGUUACAGAAUACCAUAUUUUCAUGAGUGCUUAUGUAAGAAGAGCAAAGUGAACAUGUAACCGUAAUUUACACGAAUACUUGGCAUUCUGGAGCUAGUUUAGUUACUUUCGAAUGAUCAAAGCCCUCCCAACUAAACCACUUGUGAUUUGUCAGUCUUUCCACCACAAAUGCAGGCUAUCUGGAGCAGUCUUUAAAUUUGAGAUCACAUUGUUUAAAAAAUAUAUAUUUUCGUAUCAUCCAGUACUCUUUAGACAGAUGAGAGUCAAGUUCCCACGUGGGUUGGAACAUACUUCAUGUAAGACUGAUUUUAAUUUAAUUUCAGCACUUUCAUAGAAGGGACUGUCCCAGAUCUGUAACUGUUCAAUGUUGUAUUCACUUCACAGUGUAUCAAGCACCAGCGUUGCCAUGGAUUGGUUUCAAAUAACCUUUUAUAUAUAAUUUUAUAUUUAUAUAUAUAUAGUUAUAUCAAAACUGAUAGUACAUAGUAUAACUGGAAGAAAGAACUAAACUUAAAAGGAUAUGCUGAAAGGAUGGAG
ensembl:lncRNA